rnacentral:rRNA from 1 species
CAGCAGCCGCGGUAAUACGUAGGUGGCAAGCGUUGUCCGGAAUUAUUGGGCGUAAAGCGCGCGCAGGCGGUCCUUUAAGUCUGAUGUGAAAUCUUGCGGCUCAACCGCAAGCGGUCAUUGGAAACUGGGGUACUUGAGUGCAGGAGAGGAAAGCGGAAUUCCAUGUGUAGCGGUGAAAUGCGUAGAGAUAUGGAGGAACACCAGUUGCGAAGGCGGCUUUCUGGCCUGUAACUGACGCUGAGGCGCGAAAGCGUGGGGAGCAAACAGGAUUAGAUACCCUGGUAGUCCACGCCGUAAACGAUGAGUGCUAAGUGUUGGAGGGUUUCCACCCUUCAGUGCUGCAGCAAACGCAUUAAGCACUCCGCCUGGGGAGUACGGCCGCAAGGUUGAAACUUAAAGGAAUUGGCGGG